GUGGGCGGAUAGAGAUCACCACUCCCUCACAGUUUCAGAUGUAAGCUGCCAUGCUGUGAAAGGUCCUGUGAAGAAGGGCAUCAAAAUGUGAGUAGCCUCCAGGAUCUGAGAACCAGAUGACAGCCAGCAAAAAAUGGUCAUCUCAGUCCUACAAGCACAAGUGAUUGGAUUUUGCCAAUAACUAAAUUUAUGAGGUAAUACCAAACUUCAGAAAGGAAUACGGCUUUGCUAUACUUAUAUUGCUUCUUUCUGAGACCCUGAGCACAGGACCCGGUUUAAAUAAGACUCAGG
rnacentral:lncRNA from 1 species